AAGGACUGACACCCGAGCGGGAGCCCCGGCAACGGGAACCCCCGGGACGGCACAGACACCCCCAGACGGCCUCCAGGAACCCCCAGAAAUGGGACAGACACCCCAAACGGGACAGACAGCCCCAAAAAUGGGACAGACACCCCCAAAAACAGGGCACCCCCAAACUGCCUCCAGGACCCCUCAAACCCCCCCAGACGUCCCCUGGAGGUCCCCUCAAACCUCCUGGGACCUCCAGGACACCCCAAACUUUGCCCCCUCCUUUUGUUGCAAUAAAGGCAGCGCAGCCCCCGGGCAGUGUGAGAACGAGGGGGUUCAUUGGGGGGCACAGGGGUGUGGGGGUUCCUCCCUGCAGCACUGGGGGGCCUUGGAUUGCACACCCAGGGGGAUCCUGAACGCUCACAGGGUUCUCACACACCCAUGGAGUUUUUGGAUACCCGUCACGGUUCUUGCACACCCACGGGGGGUUGUGGACAUCCAUGAGGGUCCUUGCACACCCAUCGGGGUUUUUGGACACCCAUGAGCAUUCUUGCACACCCAUGGCGUUUUCGGAUACCCAUGAUGGUUACUGCACACCCCAGAAGUUCUGGCACAUCCAUGAGGGAUCUUGCACACCCACAGGGCCCCUUGCACACUCAUGGAGAUUUCUGGAUACCCGUGGAGAUCCUCGUACACCCGUCAUGGUUCCCGCACACCCAUGAAGGAUCUUGCACACCCACGGGGGCUUCAGGAAAUCCAGAGUUCUUGCACACCCACGGAGUUUUUGGAUACCCAUGGAGGUCCUUGCACACCCACGAGGGUUUCUGGACACCCUUGAAGGUCUUUGCACACCCACGGGGGUCCUUACACAUCCACGAGGGUCUUUGCACACCCACAGGGUUCUCCCACACCCCCAAAUCUCAGUCCAGCAGACGGAGCCGUUGCAGCUCCUCACACGCGGCUCCUUCCCCCUGGCACAGGGGCUCCUGCACACUCGUCCCCCCCGGCUCAGGUCCCUGCGCGCUCCUCGGUGCAGCUCCUCGCACGCUCCCAGUCCCAGUCUCGGUCCCAGUCCAGGUCCCAGUCCCAGUCCCAGUCCCAGUCUCAAUCCCAGUCCCAGUCUCGGACCCAGUCCCAGUCCCAGUCUCAGUCCCAGUCCCAGUCCAGGUCCCAGUCCCAGUCUCAAUCCCACUCCAGGUCCCAGUCUCAAUCCCAGUCCCAGUCUCAAUCCCAGUCCCAGUCUCGGUCCCAGUCCCAGUCCCGGUCCCAGUCCCAGUCCCGGUCCCUGUCCCAGUCCAGGUCCCAGUCCCAGUCUCAAUCCCAGUCCCAGUCCCCCCCCCCCCCCCCCCCCCCCCCCCCCCCCCCCCCCCCCCCCCCCCCCCCCCCCCCCCCCCCCCCCCCC
rnacentral:lncRNA from 12 species